AGUGAACGCUGGCGGUAGGCCUAACACAUGCCAGUCGAACGGCAGCACAGUAAGAGCUUGCUCUUACGGGUGGCGAGUGGCGGACGGGUGAGGAAUACAUCGGAAUCUACUUUUUCGUGGGGGAUAACGUAGGGAAACUUACGCUAAUACCGCAUACGACCUACGGGUGAAAGCAGGGGAUCUUCGGACCUUGCGCGAUUGAAUGAGCCGAUGUCGGAUUAGCUAGUUGGCGGGGUAAAGGCCCACCAAGGCGACGAUCCGUAGCUGGUCUGAGAGGAUGAUCAGCCACACUGGAACUGAGACACGGUCCAGACUCCUACGGGAGGCAGCAGUGGGGAAUAUUGGACAAUGGGCGCAAGCCUGAUCCAGCCAUACCGCGUGGGAGAAGAAGGCCUUCGGGUUGUAAAGCCCUUUUGUUGGGAAAGAAAAGCAGCAGGUUAAUACCCCGCUGUUCUGACGGUACCCAAAGAAUAAGCACCGGCUAACUUCGUG
rnacentral:rRNA from 1 species